GAUGAACGCUGGCGGCGUGCCUAAUACAUGCAAGUCGAGCGAACAGACGAGGAGCUUGCUCCUCUGACGUUAGCGGCGGACGGGUGAGUAACACGUGGAUAACCUACCUAUAAGACUGGGAUAACUUCGGGAAACCGGAGCUAAUAGCGGAUAAUAUAUUGAACCGCAUGGUUCAAUAGUGAAAGACGGUGUUGGUGUCACGUAUAGAUGGAUCCGCGCCGCAUUAGCUAGUUGGUAAGGUAACGGCUUACCAAGGCAACGAUGCGUAGCCGACCUGAGAGGGUGAUCGGCCACACUGGAACUGAGACACGGUCCAGACUCCUACGGGAGGCAGCAGUAGGGAAUCUUCCGCAAUGGGCGAAAGCCUGACGGAGCAACGCCGCGUGAGUUACGAAGGUCUUCGGAUCGUAAAACUCUGUUAUUAGGGAAGAACAAAUGUGUAAGUAACUAUGCACGUCUUGACGGUACCUAAUCAGAAAGCCACGGCUAACUACGUG
rnacentral:rRNA from 1 species